UAAAUUUCAUAAUUAUUUGUAAAUCCGUAUAUUAUUUCAUUAUUUUUAUUUUUAUUGAUUGUGAUUCUAUUUCCUGAUUUUAUCUUUUUCCCUCUUUCUAAAAACUUGAUGGAAUUUACCGAAGGAAUUUGGUGACAUGGUAGAAAGAAGAAGCUCGUGGCUCUGAUUGAUUUAAGUUGUUUGUUCAAUAAAUAACGGCAUGUAUUGAACUGCAUGCGCUAGCCAUCUGAACCAAAAGCC
rnacentral:lncRNA from 1 species